rnacentral:rRNA from 1 species
GGAUUAGAUACCCUGGUAGUCCACGCCGUAAACGAUGUGCACUAGGUGCCGGAGAUUCUUACAUCACCGACGCCGAAGCUAAAGUGAUUAGUGCACCGCCUGGGGAGUACGGUCGCAAGGCUAAAACUCAAAGGAAUUGACGGGGGCUCACACAAGCGGUGGAGCAUGUGGCUUAAUUCGAGACAACGCGAAGAACCUUAUCCUGGAUUUGACAUGUAUGGAUUAACGCUGGGAAACCAGCGCCACGCUGCUUGCAGUGGAACAUACACAGGUGCUGCAUGGCUGUCGUCAGCUCGUGCCG